rnacentral:rRNA from 1 species
CCCUUAGAUGAUUUGGGCUGCACGCGCGCUACACUGACCCUAACAAUGAGCAACUGUCUGGCCUGAGAUGGCUGGGUAGCCUCUUCAACCCAUGUCAUGAUUGGGCUAGAUUUUUGUAAGUCUUGAUCUCUAACGAGGAAUCCCUAGUAUGCGUGAAUCAUCAAUCCAUGCAGAUUAUGUCCCUGCCCUUUGUACACACCUCCCGCCGCUCCUACUGAUUGGGUGAUCCGGUGAGCUGUUCGGCCAUAGCAAUGUUUCUUGAGCAGGGCAAUGAAUGUUUCGCAAACCUUGCCACUUAGAGGAAGGAGAAGUCGUAACA